rnacentral:rRNA from 2 species
UUCGGUGGCUAUGGCGGUGGGGUCACACCCGUUCCCAUUCCGAACACGGAAGUUAAGCCCACCAGCGCCGAUGGUACUUGGGAGGAGACUCCCUGGGAGAGUAGGACGCCGCCGGAU